rnacentral:rRNA from 1 species
UACGAAGGGGGCUAGCGUUGUUCGGAAUCACUGGGCGUAAAGGGCUCGUAGGCGGCUUUAUAAGUCGGGGGUGAAAGCCUGUGGCUCAACCACAGAAUUGCCUUCGAUACUGUAUGGCUUGAGACCGGAAGAGGUUAGUGGAACUGCGAGUGUAGAGGUGAAAUUCGUAGAUAUUCGCAAGAACACCAGUGGCGAAGGCGGCUGACUGGUCCGGUUCUGACGCUGAGGCGCGAAAGCGUGGGGAGCAAACAGG